rnacentral:rRNA from 1 species
CCUACGGGCGGCAGCAGUGAGGCAUAUUGGUCAAUGGCCGUAAGGCUGAACCAGCCAAGUCGCGUGAAGGAAGAAGGAUCUAUGGUUUGUAAACUUCUUUUAUAGGGGAAUAAAGGUAUCCACGUGAGGAUAUUUUCAUGUACCCUAUGAAUAAGCAUCGGCUAACUCCGUGCCAGCAGCCGCGGUAAUACGGAGGAUGAGAGCGUUAUCCGGAUUUGUUGGGUUUAAAGGGUGCGUAGGUUGUUUUUUAAGUCAGCGGUGAAAGUUUGUGGCUCAACCAUAAAAUUGCCGUUGAAACUGGAAGACUGGAGUGUGUUUGAGGUAUGCGGAAUGCGUGGUGUAGCGGUGAAAUGCAUAGAUAUCACGCAGAACUCCGAUUGCGAAGGCAGCUUACUAAGCCAUAACUGACACUGAAGCACGAAAGCGUGGGGAUCAAACAGGAUUAGAUACCCCUGUAGUC